UGGAUCAAUGAUGAGUAUGCGUGGGGCAUCUGAAUCAAAUAUUCUGAUUAAACCCUGUCUGUAUCUCUGAGGUCCAU
ensembl:snoRNA